CCCAGUGUGGCGUAGUGGUUUGAGCUUUGGACUAUGACUGUGGAGAACAGGGUUCGAAUCUCUGCUCGGCCA